UACGUAGGGUGCGAGCGUUGUCCGGAAUUAUUGGGCGUAAAGAGCUUGUAGGCGGUUUGUCGCGUCUGCUGUGAAAAUCCGGGGCUCAACUCCGGACUUGCAGUGGGUACGGGCGGACUAGAGUGUGGUAGGGGAGACUGGAAUUCCUGGUGUAGCGGUGAAAUGCGCAGAUAUCAGGAGGAACGCCGAUGGCGAAGGCAGGUCUCUGGGCAUGAACUGACGCUGAGGAGCGAAAGCAUGGGGAGCGAACAGG
rnacentral:rRNA from 1 species